GACGAACGCUGGCGGCGUGCCUAAUACAUGCAAGUCGAACGAGAGCGACCGGUGCUUGCACUGGUCAAUCUAGUGGCGCACGGGUGAGUAACACGUGGGUAACCUGCCCAUCAGAGGGGGAUAACAUCCGGAAACGGAUGCUAAAACCGCAUAGGUCUUCGAGCCGCAUGGCUUGAAGAGGAAAAGAGGCGCAAGCUUCUGCUGAUGGAUGGACCCGCGGUGCAUUAGCUAGUUGGUGAGGUAACGGCUCACCAAGGCGGUGAUGCAUAGCCGACCUGAGAGGGUGAUCGGCCACAUUGGGACUGAGACACGGCCCAAACUCCUACGGGAGGCAGCAGUAGGGAAUCUGCCGCAAUGGACGCAAGUCUGACGGAGCAACGCCGCGUGAGUGAAGAAGGUUUUCGGAUCGUAAAACUCUGUUGUUAGAGAAGAACAAGUGCUAGAGUAACUGUUAGCGCCUUGACGGUAUCUAACCAGAAAGCCACGGCUAACUACGUG
rnacentral:rRNA from 1 species